UACAAUUUUUGUGAUGCAGUUAUCCAAUGAUACAAUGUGUGCAACAUGGCAUAUACUGAGAGAAAAAUUGUAUAAAGUUGUAUUUUAUUUAUUUAUUUCAUUAUGUGUGUGUGUGUGUGUGUGUGUGUGUGUCUGUCUAUAGAUACACACACACACACACACACACACACACACACCACUUGGUUGUAA